UACGAAGGGGGCUAGCGUUGUUCGGAAUUACUGGGCGUAAAGCGUGCGCAGGCGGCUUUCCAAGUCAGUGGUGAAAGCCCGGAGCUCAACUCCGGAAAUGCCUUGAAACUGUGAAGCUUGAGAACGAGAGAGGUGAGUGGAAUUCCCAGUGUAGAGGUGAAAUUCGUAGAUAUUGGGAAGAACACCGGUGGCGAAGGCGGCUCACUGGACCGACACUGACGCUGAGGCGCGAAAGCG
rnacentral:rRNA from 1 species